rnacentral:lncRNA from 1 species
CAUAGAGAUGUAUGCUGUUAUUCCAUUUAUAAUACCAGUCAUGAUAAUUCUCAUGGAUUUUUCCAGUCAAAUUGUAAAAUUCUUCUUCUGUUUCCUUUUCUUAUCUUUUCAUUUUUAACCCAAGUUUUUGUCCAAUUUUUAUAUUUAGAAAAAUUUAUUUCUCUCUUUAAAUACUGUUUAUCCCCUUAGUCUCAAAUUUAUCUAAGGAAUCUUUGUUUUUUUUGUUUGCUUGUUUUGUUAUUCUUGCAUUCACACACAUAAUCUCUAUAUCUCAAACUAUUAUAUUCAAAUAAAACUUCAUUUUCCCAUUAUUUGUCAUAGAUGGAGUAAGUUCUGUAUUUCUCCCCACACUUUUGAGACUGUACCCACUCCUUGACUGAAUAUAUAGCAAGGUCAUGAGAUCGGGCAAUCUUUUGCAGGACCUUUCUAAUCACCAUCUCUCAUAUAUUAAUAACUAUGUCUCAUUGCUAUUAAUCAACAAUUUCAAGACAUUCAUUUAACUCAACAUAUUUUUAUGUUACCCAAAUACAUUCAUAAUUAUUACUUUACCAGGUUAGAUAGAAUUCAAUUUUCAACAUUCAAAGGUCUCUUUACAACCACUUCUAGAUUUGUAAUACAUUCCAACCAUUUUCCCCUCACAUUUCCUCAAUCACGAAAGCUGAUCCCUAGUUAAAAAAAAAAAAGCAAAACCACAUUUUCCUUCUUCUGACCAUGGGCUGGGCCAUCUGAGAUAAACUUACUCGAGAGAAAGGUGUAUCUCUUUGUUUUCACAGCUAAUUUUGGGUGACCCUAAAGAGAAAAAAAAAUAUUAGUAUUAUAUUGCAAUUGGGGUAAGUAGUAUUUUCUGUCCUAAGAUCUACCUCACUCAAAGCCCACUGUCUGUCAUCCCUAUUAACUGCUUCUUCUAGCUUAUUUUCUUGAAUAUGAAGGUAAGACGAAAUUGAUAAAAAUUCAGAUUAUUCUAUUAAACAAUCCUCCUUCCUGCAUUUAAUUAAAUAAGCUUUCUGAUUUUUAUUGUCUUUCAGAUUCAUUGAGAUGAAGUUCUCUAUUGGAGUUUCCUCUGAAAGAUCCUCAUCUGAUCAUUAACCACAGACCAGCCUUUCCUAGAGGAACAUUGACAGGGAUCUAUUCCUUUCAUACCUACAUGAAUUCUGUCAGUCUGUCAUUGCUUCUACUGUACUAGCACCAAAGUUUUGAGGAGUGGAGACAUAGUGGCUUUAAUUUGUAGCAGGUGACUCCUUUGGGGACUGUGUUUUAAGCUCUUCAGUGCUGGAUAAACAUGAGCUACCUAGCGCAUACCCAUCAGUGCUUGACAAUUUUCAAAUAUGUUGCUUCUCCUUAACUCCAUUCCUGGUUCUUACAUAAAUCUACUUUGUCUCUUCUGGAAUAACCCUAGCAGCCUGACCCCACAGCAAUUCAUUCUGCACAGAACAGCAAGUGAAUAUUUAAAAGAUGUAAAUCCAUCAUUAGACAUCUCUGUUAGAAGUAGAUUCUCCCUGUACAUGAAAUAAGAUUUAAACUCCUUUCCAUUGAUUAAAAACUGUUGUAUAAUUUGGUACUUGGAAAUCUUUUUAACAUCAUCAGCUAAAUUUCUCUCCUCAUUUGCAUUUCAAUAUUGAGUUCUAUCUCCUAAGAAUGGAAAUUUAAGUGUUGUCUCCUUUUAUUUCUUAUGACCAUAAGGUUCAUUGUGUGAAUAUUCCUUCUAAGUAUUUAGGAUUUAUCUCAAAUGUCACUUCAUAAAAGACCACCCCAAUUAUAUUGUCAAGAUUAUAUUAUUACUACUGAAUUGGAUUAAUACCAGUAAGUGAAUUGUUAAUCAUAUACUUUUGUCUUCUACUUUAAAACAACUUAUUUAUACCCCUACUUUUCAUUAUACCUGAGGAAAAAUUAGAUUUUUAAAGUUCACAUAAUUUUUCCAGGUUUUCACAUAUUUUGGAUUCCAAAUCUAUUUUUUUCUUCUAUAUACCCUUGGUUUGAUAUUUCAAAAAAUAACACCUGUAUAGAAAUCAGUCUUAUUUUUUUUAACUAGGUUAUUUUUUUAUGUACUUUACUGGUUCUUCAGAAUAAACAGAUAUUAUAAUUCUUCAAGAUCUCUAUUACCAUUUGUAUUAGUCAGGUUUGUGUUGCUGUUAUCAAAAUUCCCAACAUAACAACUUAUAGGAGGAAAAGUUAAUUUUGGCUCCUGGUUCUAGAGGUUUAGUCCAGGGUGGGCACAGUUCAUUGCUCUGAGCUUAAGGUGAGGCAAAACAUUAUGGUGGGAGGUCUUGGGUGAAGAAAACUGCUCCAUUCAUGCACCCAGCAAGCAGAGAGAGGGAGGGGAAAGGGUCCCAGGGAAGUGGGACCCUUCCAAGACAUGACCCUGUGACCCAUCUCCUCCAACCAUGCCCCACCUACCUAGAGUUACCACUCACUCAGUCAAUUCAAACUGGCAUGGAUGGAUCAUGUUACAGCUCUGACAAUCCAAUCAUUUCACCUCCUAACAUCCCUGCAUUAACACAUAAGCUUAUGGGGAUACCACAUCCCAAACCAUGAUACUACUUAUCAAGUUGACUGUAUGCCACACACAACUACCACUGAGCUACAGCUCAAGUCCUUUU